CCUACGGGAGGCAGCAGUGGGGAAUAUUGCACAAUGGGGGAAACCCUGAUGCAGCGACGCCGCGUGAGUGAAGAAGUACUUCGUUAUGUAAAGCUCUAUCAGCAGGGAAGAAAAUGACGGUACCUGUGUAAGAAGCCCCGGCUAACUACGUGCCAGCAGCCGCGGUAUGACGUAGGGGGCAAGCGUUAUGCGGAUUUACUGGGUGUAAAGGGAGCGUAGACGGUGCGCCAAGUCACGAGUGAAAGGCCGCAGCUUAACCGCGGAACUGUUGUGGAAACUGGCGAACUAGAGUGCGGGAGGGGUAAGCGGAAUGCCUGGUGUAGCGGUGAAAUGCGUAGAUAUUAGGAGGAACACCGGUGGCGAAGGCGGCUUACGGGACCGUAACUGACGUUGAGGUGCGAAAGCGUGGGGAGCAAACAGGAGUAGAUACCCUGGUAGUC
rnacentral:rRNA from 1 species